rnacentral:rRNA from 1 species
ACAAGCGGUGGAGUACGUGGUUAAUUCGAUGCAACGCGAAGAACCUUACCUGGUCUUGACAUCCCGGAGACCCUUAGGAAACUAGGGGUGCUUCCAUCUGGAAGAAUCUGGAGACAGGUGCUGCAUGGCUGUCGUCAGCUCGUGUCGUGAGAUGUUGGGUUAAGUCCCGCAACGAGCGCAACCCUUGCCUUUAGUUGCCAGCAGUUCGGCUGGGCACUCUAAAGGGACUGCCGGUGUUAAACCGGAGGAAGGUGGGGAUGACGUCAAGUCCUCAUGGCCUUUAUGACCAGGGCUACACACGUACUACAAUGGCCGAUACAAAGGGCAGCGACACUGCGAGGUGAAGCCAAUCCCGUAAAAUCGGUCUCAGUCCGGAUUGGAGUCUGCAACUCGACUCCAUGAAGUUGGAAUCGCUAGUAAUCGUGGAUCAGCAUGCCACGGUGAAUACGUUCCCGGGCCUC